rnacentral:misc_RNA from 1 species
UUGAUUGAACCCUAGCUCUCACUCUCUCUUUCUCUCUCUAAAAAAAAAGCAUAAAAGUUUCAAUCUUUCAGGUAAUUUGAUUGGAGAGGCGUAUCCAGAAUUUGGAGCUUCAAUCAGUGGGGAGCCUAAGUUAGCUUUGGAUUCUCCAAAAGGGAAUCUUGCUCAAAAUGGAUCAACAUGGAAAUGGACAGCCUCCAGGUAUUGGAGUCGUUACUAGCUCAGCUCCAAUAUAUGGUGCUCCAUACCAAGCUAACCAAAUGGCAGGGCCCUCUCCUCCUGCAGUUUCAGCUGGUGCAAUUCAAUCUCCUCAAGCAGCUGGUCUUGCUGCUUCGUCAGCUCAGAUGGCGCAACAUCAGCUCGCUUAUCAGCACAUUCAUCAGCAGCAGCAACAACAGUUGCAGCAACAACUCCAGACUUUCUGGGCAAAUCAAUAUCAAGAAAUCGAGCAUGUUACUGAUUUCAAGAAUCAUAGCUUGCCAUUGGCAAGGAUCAAGAAAAUCAUGAAAGCGGAUGAAGAUGUUAGGAUGAUAUCUGCUGAAGCACCAGUCGUAUUUGCUCGUGCCUGUGAGAUGUUCAUACUUGAAUUGACACUGCGUGCAUGGAACCACACUGAGGAGAACAAAAGGAGGACGCUGCAGAAAAAUGAUAUCGCUGCAGCCAUAACAAGGACUGACAUAUUUGAUUUCUUAGUUGACAUUGUCCCAAGAGAGGACUUGAAAGAUGAGGUGCUUGCAACAAUUCCUAGAGGAACGCUUCCUGUUGGAGGCCCAACUGAGGGUCUGCCAUUCUAUUAUGGCAUGCCACCACAAUCUGCUCAACCGAUUGGAGCUCCAGGGAUGUACAUGGGAAAGCCUGUCGAUCAAGCUCUGUAUGCCCAGCAGCCCCGCCCAUAUAUGGCACAGCCAAUUUGGCCCCAGCAGCAGCAACCACCCUCAGAUUCUUAAGCAGCUCAAAGCUUAGAUUACAGGAAUCCAGAAGCUAGGAGCAGUGAGUAGUCUGAGUAGCGAAGUACUGGAGAACACAUAGCAGUCUGCAUACUUUGAACUUUAUUUUAAUAUAUAUCGACAUGAAGCACUAGUUAUUAAAAGUCGAGUGUUCCCUUAGUGUAGCUAAAACUUUACACCAUGAGCUUGAUGUUCUUGGUGAUGUUUAUGAACAAAUAUGUUUUUAAGUGUGUGAUUUAAAAGUAAAACCUG